AAGGUAGCUUUAAGACUUCUAAUCUUUCACUAGUUUAAUUACUCUAUCUUA
rnacentral:tRNA from 1 species